GAUGAACGCUGGCGGCGUGCCUAAUACAUGCAAGUCGAGCGAACAGAUGAGGAGCUUGCUCCUCUGACGUUAGCGGCGGACGGGUGAGUAACACGUGGAUAACCUACCUAUAAGACUGGGAUAACUUCGGGAAACCGGAGCUAAUACCGGAUAAUAUAUUGAACCGCAUGGUUCAAUAGUGAAAGACGGUUUUGCUGUCACUUAUAGAUGGAUCCGCGCCGCAUUAGCUAGUUGGUAAGGUAACGGCUUACCAAGGCAACGAUGCGUAGCCGACCUGAGAGGGUGAGAGGCCACAAUGGAACGGAGACACGGGACAGACUCCUACGGGAGGCAGCAGUAGGGAAUCUUGAGCAAUGGGCGAAAGCCUGAAGGAGCAACGCCGCGUGAGUGAUGAAGGUCUUCGGAUCGUAAAACUCUGUUAUUAGGGAAGAACAAAUGUGUAAGGAACUAUGCACGUCUUGACGGUACCUAAUCAGAAAGAAACGGCUAACUACGUA
rnacentral:rRNA from 1 species